rnacentral:rRNA from 1 species
CCUACGGGAGGCUGCAGUGGGGAAUAUUGGACAAUGGGGGGAACCCUGAUCCAGCCAUGCCGCGUGUGUGAAGAAGGCCCUCGGGUUGUAAAGCACUUUCAGUGAGGAAGAACGCCUGGUGGUUAAUACCCAUCAGGAAAGACAUCACUCACAGAAGAAGCACCGGCUAACUCCGUGCCAGCAGCCGCGGUAAUACGGAGGGUGCGAGCGUUAAUCGGAAUUACUGGGCGUAAAGCGCGCGUAGGUGGCUUGAUAAGCCGGUUGUGAAAGCCCCGGGCUCAACCUGGGAACGGCAUCCGGAACUGUCAAGCUAGAGUGCAGGAGAGGAAGGUAGAAUUCCCGGUGUAGCGGUGAAAUGCGUAGAGAUCGGGAGGAAUACCAGUGGCGAAGGCGGCCUUCUGGACUGACACUGACACUGAGGUGCGAAAGCGUGGGUAGCGAACAGGAUUAGAUACCCGAGUAGUC